AGAAGCCCAAGGAUUAACUCUUUGUGCCUCAGCCUGAUUUCACAGUGUGUCACCUCUCGCACUUGUCCUCAUCAAUCAUUGACACAGGACCAGGCCUCAGACAGACCCCAGGGCUUUCCCAGGAAUCCCUGCUGCUUGGUUGGAAAGCCAGGUCCAGACCAUGGGGUUCUGAAACACAGCUCAGGUACAAGCUGACUCUAGCUCUAGGCCAAUUUCUUGAGCAAAGGGUCUUUGCUUAACAUGCAGAAUGGAAAAGAAUAUCGGGAGGAAGGGUUCAUGUUGCCUCAGUCCUCUGCUUCCUGCGUUUUCUCCUCCUCCACCCCAUUCUUUAAGUUCUAGUUCAAAGUAAAAGAAAUACAUGUGACAGGUUCUGUUUUACAAACUCUGUUUUGGUUCGCUUGGUGAUAACUUGAACAUUAUUUCCCAUCCCCGGGCCUGUUACAUUUCUUAGUGGUCACAGUUUUUGUGUGUGGCAGCUAAGGGGGGGUAUAGGGCAAGGAGUAAACCUUGAAGAAUUAAGGUGCAGCCUGCCCUAUUUUUCCCCUCCUCUUUAAUAUGAAAGUGGUUACAGGCACAUUUUUUUCUUUUUUUCAAACCUCUCAGCAGGAAUUACAAAGUUUCCCCAGUCGUCACCUAGCAACAGAAGCCAGCAAAACAUUCGCAAAGCGGUUUUUGCAAGGCAGCCAUCACUGACUGGCAGGGCUGACUGGUGGACGGCUGAAUUUGCUAUGGAGGGAAAUUGAAUGCUUUCUUCUGUGUUCAAGUAGAAUGCUGAGAUGUGCAGUCUGGACCUUGCUUGAACCAAAUUAAUGUACAUUAAAGAACAAACCAUAAUGCCCAUUGUGAAUCGGAGGUCAGAGGGAUUCAACAGAAUUUGAUUAUGGGCUUAUUCUCAUUGAAAGUAUUUAAAUUGAACUUUUAAAGUAGUUGUUUUAAAUAAAGCAAUCUGAGAUUGAUAUAACUAUCCCUUUAUCUUUCCACAUUAGAUUAAAUAUUCUGGACCUUUGGAUUGUAUAAGAAACCUUAAGUCUAUUGGGUAAUAAGUUCAGAAUUCAACAGAAGAUUACUUCCCUGAAAAUAAUAUUGAUAAAAAUCCCCCUUUGGAAGGAGAGGAAAUCUGCUUUGUCUGCCUCUGACUUCUACUCGGUUAGCAGCCACGAAGAAUAUGGUACUUUGGAACUUAGUUAUAAUAUCCAUCUGCAGGCUCUGCUAUGGGCCUUUUCCCUUAGAAGUAGGACUCUCUCUUUUGCUUUGUUAUAUAGUUGAGAACAAAAGACCAUAUUCAAACACAUUUCAAUUUUUGUUUUUGUAAUAAACAGCCAGGUGUGGAGAUCAGUACAUCAAGUCGUGGACCCAGACCCUGGAGUAUUGAUUUGUACUCCUCAGGAAGGGUCUCCCAAGUUGAGACCUCUCUGUUAACAGCGGAGGAGUUUCUUUAGCUCAGUACUUCAAGGGACAGCAGCAGGAUUUGUUGAGUGUAAAGACACCACACUCAUUGACAAGAAUUCUAUGAAGUUUGUUCCACAUAUUUUCAAUAUGUGCAUGAAGAAUAGAGUGUGUUCUUAUGUCAUGCUUCAACUUUUGUUCACUGAGGAACUGGUGACGGCUCAGGAACUCAUGGUAGGGAACAUUAUGAUUCAGAUUAGAUUCUCUUCCGUGUGUCCCAUGUGCUUGCUGUUGCCUAGGAUGCUGAUGUUUUGUCAGAUCCCAUAUUGUUAAUGAGGAAGUGGCUCUGAACAUUUUCCCAUGUCUUUGCUCAAAAGGUGUCUUUGAAGUACGGAGUCUAUGCCCUGUGAAAUGUUAGUGGCUGGUUUUAUUUGUUAACGAGAAUGAUACUCCAGUUCUGCCAUCUUGAGUCUCCUUUUAGUCUGAACUCUCAGAAAACCUUGUUUCUACCUCAAUCAUAUCUUCUGCAGCUGUAAGAACAAUGUUGUAAAUCUUUGCUACUCCAAGUGUGGGCUGCAGAUCAGCAGCAUUAGCAUUAUCUGGGAGCUCUUUAGAACCAUCAACUCUCAGGCUCUAUCCAAGGCCAACUGAAUUAGAAGCAUGGAUCUUCCAACUGACAUUUCCCCUCUGCAACAUUAUUAGCCGCUCCUCACUCUCAACAGUCCUGAGGUGAACUUGGAGACUGAGUGAGGAGCAACAAAUAGACUUGAACAAAGAGCUAACUGGUUUCACAAGACAAUUUAGUGGCUUUGCAUGUUACCAGAUGGCUUUGUUGUUGCUGAUGGAUGAACCAGGGAAGAAGUGGUGCGAGAAUCUCCACCCCCACCCAAGGCCUUGAAACUACAAACCAGGAUCAGGAAUCUUCUGAGGAGUGAGCAGCCUCCUGUGUCACCAGCCCAGUGGGGUGGGGAGCAGGGCUGGAACUGAACAGGAGCUCAGCAAGACAACUGUAUUUCUCUAUCUGUAGUAUCUUUAUGUAAGAGAAGGUCCUGAUUCUCAUUUCUCAGGAUCAUCUGGAUUUCUACCAUUGCACUGUCAGAGUUUCCUCAAUUCAAAUACAUAAUGCCAUGCUGAUUUUUUAAAAACAUUUGUUAAUUCAGUGCUUUCAAAAUAUUUUUGGCAAUGAAAAUUAUAGUUGGAAGUUCAAGGCAUGAGAAAAAAAAAAAGUGAAGCACCUUCAGGUGAAGUUGAGGGUGGGUGGGGACUUCUUCUUAACCUCAACAUCUUUCCCUGCUGAACUACAAAGAACUGUGACCAAAAAUCUAGGUCUCCAUGGAGCAGUUUGAAAACACUGAUGUCAUGUCAUUGUAUAAAGAAAAAAAGAGUUCAGUGAAGUGAAGUGAUUCAACCAAGAGGCAGCCUUUGAAUCCAGACAUUCCAAACCCAGCUCUAUGAGCCUUCCCAAAAUGGUGAUUCAUCCUGUGAGUAACUCCAGUAAGCUUGGCUUUCCAGACUCUUUUAAAAAUAAAGAAAGCAAAUACCAUCUA